AUGGCACCGACUCAGAAGCUCAGGAUCCUUGCCGUGGCCGCCACCGCCACCGUUGUGGCAUCGUCGCUGGUCGGCAUGGCCUCCGCGGCUGAUGGACCAGCCCCCGCACCAGCCUCCGGCGCGUCGGUGACUGCCCCGGCUGUUGCCAUGGCGUCCUUGACCGCCCUCGUCUUUGGCUACUUCUUCUAA
rnacentral:rRNA from 1 species